GGAGAGAUGAUAGAAGAUGAAAUUAAAUCCGAUCGCAUUAUGAGUUUUGCAACAUUAAAAGAAAAUACUCAAGCACUUUAAAAGGGUUCAGGAUCUGUCGAGGAGAAGAAAAAUGAGGAAGAUACAUCUACUAUUGUAGUUGGAAAGAUUGAACGGUCAAGAAGACCACGCCGUCGUCGCUCUCAGGAUCAAGCCCAAAUUCAUGCCCAAACUUCACAUAAUCACUCUCAAAGUCCAUUAUACUCUAGUCCCCCGC
rnacentral:lncRNA from 1 species